rnacentral:rRNA from 1 species
AUUGAACGCUGGCGGCAGGCCUAACACAUGCAAGUAGAACGCAGUUGCGAACGGGUGAGUAACGCGUAGGUAACCUGCCUCAUAGCGGGGGAUAACUAUUGGAAACGAUAGCUAAUACCGCAUACUGUGAGAUGGACCUGCGUGGUAUGAGCUAGUUGGUGGGGUAAAUGCUCACCAAGGCCACGAUCCAUAGCCGAUCUGAGAGGAUGACCAGCCACACUGGGACUGAGACACGGUCCAGACUCCUACGGGAGGCAGCAGUGGGGAAUCUUGGACAAUGGACGAAAGUCUGACCGAGCAACGCCGCGUGAGUGAAGAAGGUUUUCGGAUCGUAAAGCUCUGUUGUUAGGGAAGCGGUAUCUAACCAGAAAGCAACGGCUAACUACGUGCCAGCAGCCGCGGUAAUUC